rnacentral:rRNA from 1 species
UGGGGAAUAUUGGACAAUGGGCGAAAGCCUGAUCCAGCCAUGCCGCGUGUGUGAAGAAGGUCUUCGGAUUGUAAAGCACUUUAAGUUGGGAGGAAGGGCAUUAACCUAAUACGUUAGUGUUUUGACGUUACCGACAGAAUAAGCACCGGCUAACUCUGUGCCAGCAGCCGCGGUAAUACAGAGGGUGCAAGCGUUAAUCGGAAUUACUGGGCGUAAAGCGCGCGUAGGUGGUUUGUUAAGUUGGAUGUGAAAGCCCCGGGCUCAACCUGGGAACUGCAUCCAAAACUGGCAAGCUAGAGUACGGUAGAGGGUGGUGGAAUUUCCUGUGUAGCGGUGAAAUGCGUAGAUAUAGGAAGGAACACCAGUGGCGAAGGCGACCACCUGGACUGAUACUGACACUGAGGUGCGAAAGCGUGGGAGCAAACA